CCAUCCCGGUGCCCGAGGGAAUGAGGGGUGGCCGCUGCCUCCGCCCCGGUGCGCUCCGCCACUGCCGCCUCCGACCCCGCAGCGCCUUGCACUUGUUGCCUUGCCCCAGAGACCAGGAGGCGGCGCCCAUCCCUCGAGCUGCCCAGCCGGCAGGGUGCAACCUCUCGCCACCUCUGCGGACCCCUGCGUCCUCGGGGACCCUGGAGAAACUUUGUCCCCGGCGAACUCAGAAAGUCAUAGCCACUUAUAAAAUACUCAGCCAUGUGAAGGGACCCCCCCCAUCUUGCUGCAUCUAGUUACUGGGUUACUCAACCCCAAGGUGAAAAUUCUCUCCAUUAUACGGCUCACCAUAAAAUGAUGUCUACAUGAACGUGAGAGAGGUGGUGGCCCCAAGAAGCUGGGCCACCAACUCUCCAAAUCAGAAGCAGGACCCCCUCCCUAACCAUCACCACCAGAUGCCCCGGGCGGGCCACCCUCCUAAUGCUCCUGGUUUAAGGAAUGACAGGAUAGCAAGAACAGAGGUCCAGGGGUCCGCGGUCUUUAGUCCUGCCCCAGCACAAACGCCGCUCUUCCUUCUUGAUAAAAGACCUGGCAUUGACCUUGUACUACUAUUGACACUUACACUCGUAUCAACCGACCUCACACUGCAGCACCUUGGGCCCCAAAGUAAGAGCCCUCACCAUUGAAGAACUUCAAGGU